AGUCGAGCGAUGAAAUUUCGACAGAUCCCUUCGGGGUGAAGAUGAAAUGGAUUAGCGGCGGACGGGUGAGUAACACGUGAGUAACCUGCCUUUGACAUUGGGAUAGCCUCGGGAAACUGGGAUUAAUACCAAAUGACACUAACUGAUCACAUGAUCAAUUAGUCAAAGAAAUUCGGUCAAAGAUGGACUCGCGGCUGAUUAGCUAGUUGGUGAGGUAACGGCCCACCAAGGCGACGAUCAGUAGCCGGCCUGAGAGGGUGACCGGCCACAUUGGAACUGAGACACGGUCCAAACUCCUACGGGAGGCAGCAGUGGGGAAUAUUGCACAAUGGGGGAAACCCUGAUGCAGCGACGCCGCGUGAGCGAAGAAGGCCUUCGGGUCGUAAAGCUCUUUUAUGAGGGAAGAUAAUGGCGGUACCUCAAGAAAAAGCCCCGGCUAACUACGUGCCAGCAGCCGCGGUAAUACGUAGGGGGCUAGCGUUGUCCGGAAUCACUGGGCGUAAAGGGUUCGCAGGCGGAAUAACAAGUCAGAUGUGAAAGGCACGGGCUCAACCCAUGUAAGCAUUUGAAACUGUAAUUCUUGAGAAGUGGAGAGGUAAGUGGAAUUCCUAGUGUAGCGGUGAAAUGCGUAGAUAUUAGGAGGAAUACCUGUGGCGAAGGCGACUUACUGGACACAAAUCUGACGCUGAGGAACGAAAGCGUGGGUAGCAAACAGGAUUAGAUACCCUGGUAGUCCACGCCGUAAACGAUGAGUGCUAGGUGUCGGGGGAGACCUCGGUGCCGGCGUUAACACAAUAAGCACUCCGCCUGGGGAGUACGUGCGCAAGCCAUG
rnacentral:rRNA from 1 species